UAAGUUAGAAAGGGCGCACGGUGGAUGCCUUGACACUAGGAGUCGAUGAAGGACGGGACUAACGCCGAUAUGCUUCGGGGAGCUGUAAGUAAGCUUUGAUCCGAAGAUUUCCGAAUGGGGAAACCCACCAUACGUAAUGGUAUGGUAUCCUUAUCUGAAUACAUAGGGUAAGGAAGACAGACCCAGGGAACUGAAACAUCUAAGUACCUGGAGGAAGAGAAAGCAAAUGCGAUUUCCUGAGUAGCGGCGAGCGAAACGGAACAUAGCCCAAACCAAGAGGCUUGCCUCUUGGGGUUGUAGGACAUUCUAUACGGAGUUACAAAGGAACGAGGUAGACGAAGCGACCUGGAAAGGUCCGUCGUAGAGGGUAACAACCCCGUAGUCGAAACUUCGUUCUCUCUUGAAUGUAUCCUGAGUACGGCGGAACACGUGAAAUUCCGUCGGAAUCUGGGAGGACCAUCUCCCAAGGCUAAAUACUCCCUAGUGAUCGAUAGUGAACCAGUACCGUGAGGGAAAGGUGAAAAGCACCCCGGAAGGGGAGUGAAAGAGAUCCUGAAACCGUGUGCCUACAAAUAGUCAGAGCCCGUUAACGGGUGAUGGCGUGCCUUUUGUAGAAUGAGCCGGCGAGUUACGAUCCCGUGCGAGGUUAAGCUGAAGAGGCGGAGCCGCAGCGAAAGCGAGUCUGAAUAGGGCGUUUAGUACGUGGUCGUAGACCCGAAACCAGGUGAUCUACCCAUGUCCAGGGUGAAGUUCAGGUAACACUGAAUGGAGGCCCGAACCCACGCACGUUGAAAAGUGCGGGGAUGAGGUGUGGGUAGCGGAGAAAUUCCAAUCGAACCUGGAGAUAGCUGGUUCUCCCCGAAAUAGCUUUAGGGCUAGCCUUAAGUGUAAGAGUCUUGGAGGUAGAGCACUGAUUGGACUAGGGGUCCUCAUCGGAUUACCGAAUUCAGUCAAACUCCGAAUGCCAAUGACUUAUCCUUAGGAGUCAGACUGCGAGUGAUAAGAUCCGUAGUCAAAAGGGAAACAGCCCAGACCGCCAGCUAAGGUCCCAAAGUGUGUAUUAAGUGGAAAAGGAUGUGGAGUUGCUUAGACAACUAGGAUGUUGGCUUAGAAGCAGCCACCAUUUAAAGAGUGCGUAAUAGCUCACUAGUCGAGUGACUCUGCGCCGAAAAUGUACCGGGGCUAAAUACACCACCGAAGCUGCGGAUUGAUACCAAUGGUAUCAGUGGUAGGGGAGCGUUCUAAGGACAGUGAAGUCAGACCGGAAGGACUGGUGGAGUGCUUAGAAGUGAGAAUGCCGGUAUGAGUAGCGAAAGACGGGUGAGAAUCCCGUCCACCGAAUGCCUAAGGUUUCCUGAGGAAGGCUCGUCCGCUCAGGGUUAGUCAGGACCUAAGCCGAGGCCGACAGGCGUAGGCGAUGGACAACAGGUUGAUAUUCCUGUACCACCUCUUUAUCGUUUGAGCAAUGGAGGGACGCAGAAGGAUAGAAGAAGCGUGCGAUUGGUUGUGCACGUCCAAGCAGUUAGGCUGAUAAGUAGGCAAAUCCGCUUAUCGUAAAGGCUGAGCUGUGAUGGGGAAGCUCCUUAUGGAGCGAAGUCUUUGAUUCCCCGCUGCCAAGAAAAGCUUCUAGCGAGAUAAAAGGUGCCUGUACCGCAAACCGACACAGGUAGGCGAGGAGAGAAUCCUAAGGUGUGCGAGAGAACUCUGGUUAAGGAACUCGGCAAAAUGACCCCGUAACUUCGGGAGAAGGGGUGCUUUCUUAACGGAAAGCCGCAGUGAAUAGGCCCAAGCGACUGUUUAGCAAAAACACAGCUCUCUGCGAAGCCGUAAGGCGAAGUAUAGGGGGUGACACCUGCCCGGUGCUGGAAGGUUAAGGAGAGGGGUUAGCGUAAGCGAAGCUCUGAACUGAAGCCCCAGUAAACGGCGGCCGUAACUAUAACGGUCCUAAGGUAGCGAAAUUCCUUGUCGGGUAAGUUCCGACCCGCACGAAAGGUGUAACGAUUUGGGCACUGUCUCAACCAGAGACUCGGUGAAAUUAUAGUACCUGUGAAGAUGCAGGUUACCCGCGACAGGACGGAAAGACCCCGUGGAGCUUUACUGUAGCCUGAUAUUGAAUUUUGGUACAGUUUGUACAGGAUAGGCGGGAGCCUUUGAAACCGGAGCGCUAGCUUCGGUGGAGGCGCUGGUGGGAUACCGCCCUGACUGUAUUGAAAUUCUAACCUACGGGUCUUAUCGACCCGAGAGACAGUGUCAGGUGGGCAGUUUGACUGGGGCGGUCGCCUCCUAAAGUGUAACGGAGGCGCCCAAAGGUUCCCUCAGAAUGGUUGGAAAUCAUUCGUAGAGUGCAAAGGCAUAAGGGAGCUUGACUGCGAGACCUACAAGUCGAGCAGGGACGAAAGUCGGGCUUAGUGAUCCGGUGGUUCCGCAUGGAAGGGCCAUCGCUCAACGGAUAAAAGCUACCCCGGGGAUAACAGGCUUAUCUCCCCCAAGAGUCCACAUCGACGGGGAGGUUUGGCACCUCGAUGUCGGCUCAUCGCAUCCUGGGGCUGUAGUCGGUCCCAAGGGUUGGGCUGUUCGCCCAUUAAAGCGGUACGCGAGCUGGGUUCAGAACGUCGUGAGACAGUUCGGUCCCUAUCCGUCGUGGGCGUAGGAAAUUUGAGAGGAGCUGUCCUUAGUACGAGAGGACCGGGAUGGACGCACCGCUGGUGUACCAGUUGUUCUGCCAAGGGCAUAGCUGGGUAGCUAUGUGCGGAAGGGAUAAGUGCUGAAAGCAUCUAAGCAUGAAGCCCCCCUCAAGAUGAGAUUUCCCAUAGCGUAAGCUAGUAAGAUCCCUGAAAGAUGAUCAGGUUGAUAGGUUCGAGGUGGAAGCAUGGUGACAUGUGGAGCUGACGAAUACUAAUAGAUCGAGGACUUAACCA
rnacentral:rRNA from 1 species